UAAAGAUUUUAAGGGCGUACGGUGGAUGCCUUGGCGAUAUCAGCCGAAGAAGGACGCGGUAAGCUGCGAUAAGCUACGGAGAGGUGCAAGCAACCUGUGACCCGUAGAUUUCCGAAUGGGGGAACCCGGCAGUGGUUAUGCACUGUCACCCAUAGCUUAGACUAUGAGGAGGGCACCUGGGGAACUGAAACAUCUAAUUACCCGGAGGAACAGUAAUCAAACGAGAUUUUCUUAGUAGCGGCGAGCGAACGGGAAAGAGGCCAAACCGGAGCGGGCAACCGCACCGGGGUUGAGGACAGUCAUCAAGUGUAAAUGAGGUAGAAGAAUCGAGCUGGAAAGCUCAGCCGCAGAAGGUGAAAGCCCUGUAAUCGAAACCUUGCAUACAUGGGACUGUAUCCAGAGUACCACGAGACACGUGAAACCUUGUGGGAAGCAGGGGGGACCACCCUCCAAGCCAAAAUACUGAUAUCGACCGAUAGCGCAUAGUACCGUGAGGGAAAGGUGAAAAGAACCCCUGGCGGGGAGUGAAAGAGAACCUGAAACCGUAUGUCUACAAACAGUCGAAGUCUGUAUAUAUAUCAGGACGACGGCGUGCCUAUUGAAGAAUGAACCGACGAGUUACUGUUGCUAGCGAGGUUAAGUGGAAAACAUGGAGCCGCAGCGAAAGCGAGUCUGAACAGGGCGUUCAGUUAGUAAUAGUAGACCCGAAACCGUAGUGAUCUAUCCAUGGCCAGGUUGAAGCACAGGUAAAAUUGUGUGGAGGACCGAACUCGUGAGCGUUGAAAAGCUUUGGGAUGAGUUGUGGAUAGGGGUGAAAUGCCAAUCGAACACGGAGAUAGCUGGUUCUCCCCGAAAUAGCUUUAGGGCUAGCCUCGAGGUAGAGAGUAUAGGCGGUAGAGCACUGAUCGGGCUAGGGGCCAUACCGGUUACCGAACCUAGUCAAACUACGAAUGGCUAUACUUAUACUCGGGAGUCAGACAGUGAAUGAUAAGGUCCAUUGUCAAGAGGGAAACAGCCCAGAACACCGACUAAGGUCCCCAAUGUUACACUAAGUGGCGAAGGAUGUGGAAUUUCCAAAACAACCAGGAUGUUGGCUUAGAAGCAGCCACCAUUUAAAGAGUGCGUAAUAGCUCACUGGUCGAGAGACUCUGCGCCGAAAAUGUCCGGGGCUAAAGUGUAAAACCGAAGUCGUGUCAUAUGCAGCAAUGUAUAUGGGUAGGGGAGCGUUCUCAUCGGGCUGAAGCAGUACCGUAAGGAGUUGUGGACUGAUGAGAAGUGAGAAUGUCGGUAUGAGUAGCGAAAAGAAUGGUGAGAAUCCAUUCCACCGAAAGCCUAAGGGUUCCUGAGCAACGAUCGUCGUCUCAGGGUAAGUCGGGACCUAAGCCGAGGCGGAAAAGCGUAGGCGAUGGACAACAGGUUGAAAUUCCUGUACCGGUGUGAAUCGUUUGAUCGAUGGAGUGACACAGUAAGGUAGGUCAGCACGCGAUUGGAAGAGCGUGUUUAAGCAGGUAGGUUGAGCUAUAGGCAAAUCCGUAGCUCUAAAAGCUGAGAUGUGAUGACGAGUGACUAGCAAUAGUCGCGAAGUGAUUGAUCCUACACUGUCGAGAAAAGCUUCUAGGUAGAGACACAUCGCCCGUACCAAAACCGACACAGGUAGGCGGGGAGAGAAUCCUAAGGUGCGCGGGAAAACCCUCGUUAAGGAACUCGGCAAAAUGCCUCCGUAACUUCGGGAAAAGGAGGACUCAUGUAGUGUGAAGAGCAGAAGCGCUUGGAGCAUGAAUGAGUGGCACAAGAGAGGCGCAAGCGACUGUUUACCACAAACACAGGUGCCUGCUAAAGCGAAAGCUGAUGUAUAGGUGCUGACACCUGCCCGGUGCUGGAAGGUUAAGAGGAGGGGUUAGACUUCGGUCGAAGCUCUGAAUUGAAGCCCCAGUAAACGGCGGCCGUAACUAUAACGGUCCUAAGGUAGCGAAAUUCCUUGUCGGGUAAGUUCC
rnacentral:rRNA from 1 species